rnacentral:rRNA from 1 species
UACGUAGGGGGCUAGCGUUGUCCGGAAUCAUUGGGCGUAAAGCGCGUGUAGGCGGCCCGGUAAGUCCGCUGUGAAAGUCGGGGGCUCAACCCUCGAAAGCCGGUGGAUACUGUCGGGCUAGAGUACGGAAGAGGCGAGUGGAAUUCCUGGUGUAGCGGUGAAAUGCGCAGGAUAUCAGGAGGAACACCCAUGCGAAGGCAGCUCGCUGGGACGUUACUGACGCUGAGGCGCGAAGCGUGGGGAGCAAACAGG